rnacentral:lncRNA from 1 species
AAAUGCAAAAUUUGGCUGAUGGAUCUGGUCCACCGGGUGUUGACACAUCUUCGAGUGAAACAUCUUUACUCAUCCACAGCAGAAGCAGGUAGAUCAAAUAGAUGUUGUAUUGAAACAAUUUGAAACUCUAUAACAAUAUUAAUGGAUAAUUAGAAAACAAAGUGGAAGAAGAAGAAAUAUAAACAAAAAGAAAGAGAAACAAAAAAAAAUGUCGAGAAAGAAAAAAGGUAAGUGAGUAUUUAAAGAAGAUGAACAUAUUUAAAGAAGGUGGAGUUGGCACUUAAUUAGGUUUGCCAGAAUGCUUUAGUGAUUCAAAGGAGGAUCUCCUAAACUACAUUAAAGACCGUCUCAAAUCUAAACUCUCAGGCUGG